rnacentral:rRNA from 1 species
UACGGGGGGGGCAAGCGUUGUUCGGAAUUACUGGGCGUAAAGGGCGCGUAGGCGGUCAGACCAAGUCGAGUGUGAAAUUCCAGGGCUUAACUCUGGCACGCUCGCUCGAUACUGGUCGGCUAGAGUGUGGAAGAGGAUGCUGGAAUUCCCGGUGUAGCGGUGAAAUGCGUAGAUAUCGGGAGGAAUACCUAUGGCGAAAGCAGGCUACUGGACCAUCACUGACGCUGAUCUGCGAAAGCUAGGGGAGCAAACAGG